UCCUCUUGCCUAGAUACCCGAAAACUACCAAAUUUCAUUUUAUUUUGGAAGCUAAAGUGAGUAUAGCUCUGGUUAAUACUUGAUGGGAGACCAUCAAUGAACACCAGGUGCUGUAGGCU
rnacentral:rRNA from 11 species